rnacentral:lncRNA from 1 species
CUCACUAGACCUAGAGAGACCUAGACUAGAUUCGCAGAGAUUAAAAUCACCCCAGCUGGUACACACAAGUUUUCUAGAAUUCUAGGAGUCCACAGAAUAGCAUUAAUCACCAUGGGAGUCUGGCAUCACUGCUGUGUGGAGCUGCCUUCAUGAAGCCGGCAGAGCAAAGAUCCAGGAGCAGAAGCCCAAAAAGCAUUGAAGGAGAGAAGCAGCAGGAUGGGGCUUCCAGAGUAAUUGGACAACUGGUUACUUGGAGCCCUCACUUCUGAAAAUCAUUUUUCUGGUGCUAUGGGCUGCUGAGUGAGAAUCUCUUUGGACCUGCUUCUCUCCUUUCUGUUCAUUACUGGGGUUAAUCAAAACCCAGACCUUUCUCCGACCUCAAACAUAUUACCAUGAUGGGCUGGGAAAAUCGAAGCGAAGAGAAGUGCCGAG